rnacentral:snRNA from 1 species
GUGUUUACUUUGGCAGCACAUAUACUAAAAUUGGAAUGAUACAAAGAAGAUUAGCUUGGCCUCUGCACAAGGAUGACACACAAAUUUGUAAAGCAUUCCUUUUUUUU